CCCUUAGAUGUCCGGGGCCACACGCGCGCUACACUGAAGGAAUCAGCGUGGCUUUCUCCCUGACCCGAAAGGGUUGGGAAACCCGUUGAAUCUCCUUCGUGAUAGGGAUUGGGGCUUGAAAUUGUUCCCCAUGAACGAGGAAUUCCCAGUAAGCGCGAGUCAUAAGCUCGCGUUGAUUACGUCCCUGCCCUUUGUACACACCGCCCGUCGCUACUACCGAUUGAACGGUUUAGUGAGGGCCUCGGAUUGGUCUCGGCCCGCUCUUUACCGGGCGGCGCCGUUGGUCGAGAAGACGCUCGAACUCGAUCGUUUAGAGGAAGUAAAAGUCGUAACA
rnacentral:rRNA from 1 species